UGUUCCAACUACAGAGGGAUCACACUCCUCAGCCUCCCUGGUAAAGUCUAUUCAGGGGGACGUCAGGAGGGGACGUGGGAACUUGCCCAACCAGUCUACAUGUGUUUUGUGGACUUGGAGAAGGCAUUUGACCGUGUCCCUCGGGGGGUAAUGUGGGGGUGCUUCGGGAGUAUGGGGUACCGACCCCCCUGAUACGGGCUGUUCGGUCCCUAUACUGCCGAUGUCAGAGUUUGGUUCGCAUUGCCAGCAAUAAGUCGGAAUCGUUUGCAGUGAGAGUUGGACUUCGCCAAGGCUGCACUUUGGCGCCAAUUCUGUUCAUCACCUUUAUGGACAGAAUUUCUAGGCACAGCCGAAGCGUUGAGGGGGUCCGUUUUGGGGGCCUCAAUAUUGCAUCUCUGCUUUUUGCAGAUGAUGUGGUACUGUUGGCUCCUUCAAGCAGGACUCGCCAACUCUUCACUGGAGCGUUUCGCAGCCGAGUGUGAAGCGGUUGGGAUGAGGAUCAGCACCUCCAAAUCUGAAACCAUGGUCCUCAGUCGGUAAAGGGUGGAGUGCCCGCUCCGGGUCGGGGAGGAGAUCUUGACCCAAGUGGAGGAGUUUAAGUAUCUUGGGGUCUUGUUCACGAGUGAGGGCAGGUGGGAGCGAGAGAUCGACAGGCGGAUCAGUGCAGCGUCUGCUGUGAUGCGGACGUUGCAUUGGUCUGUCGUGGUAAAGAAGGAGCUGAGCGAAAGGGCGAAGUUCUCAAUUUACCUGUUGAUCUACGUCCCAACUCUCAUCUAUGGUCACGAGCUAUGGGUCGUGACCGAAAGAACGAGAUCCUGGAUACAAGCGGCCGAAAUGAAGCUCGGUCAUCCGGGAGGGACUCAGAGUAAAGCUGCUUCUCCUCCACAUCGAGAGGACCCAGAUGAACUGGCUCGGGCAUCUAAUUAGGAUGCCUCCUGGACGCCUCCCUGGUGAGAUGUUCCGGGCAUGUCCCACUGGCAGGAGACCCCGAGGACGACCCAGGAUACGCUGGAGAGAUUAUGUCACCCAGCUGGCAUGGGAAUGCCUCAGGAUCCUCCAGGAAGAGCUCGAAGAAGUGGCUGGGGAAAGGGAAGUCUGGGCUUCCCUCCUAAAGCUACUGCCCCCGCGACCCGAACCCGGUUAAGCGGUGGAAAAUGGAUGGAUGGAUGGAUGGAUGGUUGGAAGGAUGGAUGGAUGAAUUUGUAAUGUGUGUUAACUGUUUUGCUAAGCGCUUUGUUACAGCUGCCGCUGUUGUUAAAGCACUAUAAAAAUCAGCAUGUAUUGUAUUGGUGUGAUUUAAUCAACCAUCCAGAAGUAUUUACUUUGGCAUACUUCUGGUGUACACAUUGUUCUUAUUCAAAUCAUGGAUGGUUUUCAAAAUACACGUUUUUCUAAAAUGGACAAAUUAUCCCGGUCUCAUCUAUCAAUCUAUCUAUCUAUCUAUCUAUCUAUCUAUCUAUCUAUCUAUCUAUCUAUCUAUCUAUCUAUCUAUCUAUCUAUCUAUCUAUCUAUCUAUCUAUCUAUCUAUCUAUCUAUCUAUCUAUCUAUCUAUCUAUCUAUCUAUCUAUCUAUCUAUCUAUCUGUCUGUCUAAUUCAUUUAGAACCUUCCAUAUUACACGCGCUGCCUCUUUUGUUCGGGGUUUAACGUUUCAUAAGCUUGGUGUGGCCAAAUGCAGGGGUCCCCAACCGCCGUUCCGCAGGGCAUUUGGUACCAGGCCGCACAGAAAGAACUUGCCUUAAUUCCGUUUGAUUUAUUUCGGAAUACGAAAGAUAUUUUAUUUUGAAAAAUUACCGGAUUAUCCGUUACCUCCGUCUUGUCACGACUCAAACCACGCUUCUGCGUCACGUGACCGUGUACGCCAAAAAAAAGACUAAAAAAAUUAGUUAAAAACUACUGGAGAUCGCAAAUGACGGCGGCCUUAAAAGGACGUUCGAAACAACUGGAUUAAAGUUAUGGCUGAAUAUUCUGAGAUCGCCACAAUAGCACUGUUGCGGGGGUUUCUGUAGCAACGGCGACUAAAACAAAAUUACGGAGUAGACUGGACAUAAAACACACACUUGAGGUGUCAUUGUCUCCUAUUACCACAAGAUGGGACCGUCUGGUUGCAGAAAAUCGAGCUCGGGGCUGUGAUUAUACACGCGCUGUCACAGACCUGAGACGUCACCAGCACACCGACUUCAAGACUUCAAAGACCUGCCCCGUAAACCCAACAAGUGACGCAAUUUGUUUUUACUUGCAAUGAGAAAGGUAAUUAACGACUGUUUUUAUGUUCAACACAUUUCUGUCAUCACAUUUCUGUGUGUACGCGUUGAUCUUUAGAUGCGUUCACGUUGAUUUGACGAACUCGUCUAAUUCACAUCGAUGUUGUAUGUAUUGUAAUACAGUAUCUGGUUCUUGUAUUUGUGUGACGUCACAAAGAGGGGAGGAGCCAGGUUGGGGGACUCCUGUAUUGGCUCGGCAGUUAGUCUGAGUGUGGAGCGCAUGGGCGUGAGUUGUGGCUAACAUCAACUCCUUUGAAUGUGUGUGUUAGUGCUCCUUUUGUUUAUUAAAAACGACAGA